ensembl:lncRNA
CUUCGACAUCUUCCAUUUCUCCAAGGAGGGCAAAACGAUUUUGCAGCUCUAAAGUGAAGGCGUUGACGUCAGUCGGGUCCUUGAGCUUCUCUAUUGCGAAUUGCGAUUUGGUGCAGGCUGUCUUUGGUUCCAAAGUUUGAGUUUGACUUCUGCUCUGACUAGGUGGUGGUCAUAUCCAACAUCCGCUUUUCGAUAGGCCCUUGCGUCGCGCAAAGCCGACCUCCAUUUUUGGCUGAUGCAGAUAAAAUCAAUUUCAUUGAAUAUAAGCCCAUCUGGUGAUCGCCAUGUUUUCUUGUGGAUCUCUUGGUGCUGGAAGUAUUAAUAUGUAUAUCUCACAGAAGGAUACUAAUUGUUCGCCGUUGUCGCUGAGACGCAUUGAAGAUGCAUGUGGUCCAACCACUGUCUCCAAUCCCAAUCGGUCACUGCCCAGGUGGGCAUUGAAGUCUCCAAUGAGAAUCUUAAGGUCGUGAUUCGGGAUGUCAUUAAAAACGUCUUGCAGCUGAUCUUAGAAAUUGUCCUUGAAAGCAUCUUCCGUAUUGUCCGUCGGCGCAUAGUCGCACAAUAGUCGUCUUGGCGUGUACAAAUCUGAAACAAGCUGUGAUCAUGUGGUUGUUAACAGGUUUCCAACCGAUGAGUGCUGUCACGGCUUCUUUGAUCAGUACGAGCCCCACUGCAUGUUCAUGUCGAUCUUCAUGACACGAGUACAAGAUUGUCUUGCCAUCGCUGGUAAUUUAGCCCCUCUCUAUCCACCUCAUUUCACUGAUUCCGAGGAUGUCGAGCUGAUAAUCGUCAAACUCCUUCAAAAGUUGAGCCAGCCAUCCACUCUGAUAUAACGUGCAAACGUUCCACGUCCCAAUUCGUGUGAUGGUUUAAAGCUUCCAUCGGACGCUGGUUGCCGUUUUUGGUUUCUUUCAGCAUCGUCAUCCCGUUUGAAGUAGAAUUCCCACCAAGUUGUCCAAAACUUCUGCUUUCAUUUGUCGCUUCUGUAGCGGUAGGGUUUUUUACAGGGACGGGUUGCUAGCCCGAAGCCAAACCGUCCUCCUUUCUCAUCUGGGCUUGGGACCGGACUUCGUGGCCCAACAUAUCCCACAAUUCAUAGCGCGGCAGUCGGUGUGGAUAAUUUUGCUGCAGACGGCAGAAGCGGAGUGGCCGAAGAGUAAACUGUUAAAAGUAAGUACUGAAUAUGAUGUCACUUAUUUAUGUGCAAAUGUUGAAUAAUGGAGAACAUUAAAACAUUACUGUUGGCCACAUGUCGGCAAAGUUAUGUGACAUUAGCGAUGUUUGUACUUUCAGCGUUUACUUGGUUUUAAAGCCUUUCAAAUAUGCGCCGUUCAAUAGUUGACCUUAAUCUUACAGAGAAUGUGAUGAUUUUAUGGAUAAUUAAAGUCAGUCAGUCAGUCAUAUAUCCACAAACACAACAAGCUGAGAGUCAGUGAUGCUGCUCGUGUCACGGCCUGCGGGAUCGGCAAGGCGCUGAACAGCAUCACUCCACUCCUAGCCCCCCUUCUCUCCUCUUUUUCCUCUCUCUCCCCCUCUCUCCCCUGUUUUGCCGGGGCGGAACUCAUGGCGGGUUCACGCCCUUGGUCCACGCCUUCUCGGAUUGUGCACACCUGGGCCUCAUCAGACCAGCUGGUAUAUCAGAAGGAGGAGAUCAGCUGUUCAACGCUGGAUUGUUGUGAAGGCUUCUAUUCCCCGGACCCGUUCCCGUGUUUCCCCGUGUGAUGUGUGGAAGGAGUGACAGGUCGCUAGUGGAGAGGAGAGAGGCUGUUUGGAGCGCGAGUGUGGUUUCCCCGUUUUCCCUGGAGCCCUGGACCCCUGCCCCUCACGUCUUGUAUAUAGCACUAACCCCGCACUGUCUAUACAUACACUCGGUGAAGAUUGGUAAUAAACUAUCUCUGUGUGAACGCUACCCAGGAGUCCUGCGAGUGGAUCCUCUAAGCAACCCGUGACAGCUCGGUUUGCAGUCCUGAAUAUGACGGCACAAGCAGGAUUCACUGCACUGUUAAUGUUAGCUAUGUUAUAUUGCUGCCUCUGUUCGGUGGUGUCGAGCCAAACGGACUUUAACGUGUGUUUGAACGAGCUGACGGUUCACUCGUUAAGCUGAAAGAAAGAUGCUUUAAUCACAGGAGUCACACAUGUGUCCACUGUACCAUCUGGGAACUCUUCUUGUUUGGCACUCGUAAUAACACAAACACUAAAUCCUCCUUCUCUUGUGCUGUUUUGUAGCAGUGUGUACACCUGAGACUGUCACCUGUCUGUCUGUCCUGCACUCUCUCUCUCUCUCUCUCUUUCUUUCUCUCUGAUUAUGUAAUAAAAGUGUGAACAUGUAUUUAUAAGUUACACUUGUGUUUGAAUCCUGCAGCUUAUCACACAUUUGAUUUCCAUGUGUGACAACUGCAAGUGUCCAGAGUGAGGACAGACUGAGGGACCCACUGCUGCACAUCAUUUGUGAGGCUUUGCACCCCUGAUGAUCCACCAGGACAAACUCAGCAGAGUGUGAGGAAGAGGAGGAGGAAGAGCCAGCAGCAGCUGACAGAUGGAGAGAAUAGACAGACUGUUCCCUGUUUGUGAAGGACUGCUAGGAAAGUUUAAAAGAACUAAUUGUCUGUCCUGAAUCAGUCUUAUUAGGUAAUGUUCAAAUAAUGUUAUCAUUCCAGUGUUUUCAGUGUGGGAGAAAGUACUCAGGGCCUUCAAGUUACACACUAUGAAAAGCAGAAACAAGUUUAAUGUUCAGAAACCUAAAGUAUGUAUCAGCAGCAGAAUGGAGCUAAAGAUAAAUGUUUGUUUCAGUUCUAUGAAGCUUUGAGUAUUUUGGAUUAGUAGUACUGCUGUGUUUGUUGCAUCAUAUUGCUGUAAUUGUUUAUAUGCUUUAUAUAUUCUGAGGUAAGUUGAUCUAUAGUGUUACAUCAUAUUCUAUAAGGAUGUUAUGUGUUUGUAGACUUUCUGCCCAGUUUGACCCAUUUAGCAGAAGUCAGCCUGUUUAAGGCUCUGAUAUUUAUUCUGUAUGACUUACAGCAGUUAUGACAUGGUCUGAUUUUCUCACCCAAUAAAGGAAUAUUUCAU